rnacentral:rRNA from 1 species
AUUGAACGCUAGCGGGAUGCUUUACACAUGCAAGUCGAACGGCGGCGCGGACUUCGGUCUGGCGGCGAGUGGCGAACGGGUGAGUAAUGUAUCGGAACGUGCCCAGUAGCGGGGGGUAACUACGCGAAAGCGUAGCUAAUACCGCAUACGCCCUACGGGGGAAAGCAGGGGAUCGUAAGACCUUGCACUAUUGGAGCGGCCGAUAUCGGAUUAGCUAGUUGGUGAGGUAACGGCUCACCAAGGCGACGAUCCGUAGCUGGUUUGAGAGGACGACCAGCCACACUGGGACUGAGACACGGCCCAGACUCCUACGGGAGGCAGCAGUGGGGAAUUUUGGACAAUGGGGGCAACCCUGAUCCAGCCAUCCCGCGUGUGCGAUGAAGGCCUUCGGGUUGUAAAGCACUUUUGGCAGGAAAGAAACGUCGCGGGCUAAUACCCCGUGGAACUGACGGUACCUGCAGAAUAAGCACCGGCUAACUACGUG